GACGUAGGUGGCGAACGUUAUCCGGAAUUAUUGGGCGUAAAGGGUGCGUAGAUGGCCUGAUAAGUUAGCAGUGGGAAAUCGAGGCUCAACCUCGUGGAAGCUGGUAAUACUGUCAGGCUCGGAGUGCAGGAGAGGUUAACGGAACUCCAUGUGGAGCGGUAAAAUGUGUAGAUAUAUGGAAGAACACCAAUAACGGCGAAGGCAGUUAA
rnacentral:rRNA from 1 species